UUAGAUUACCACAAUGGAGAGCAACCUGAAGACGAUAGAAGAGGAGAACAAAGUAAUUGAACAGCAAAAUGAGUCUCUUCUUCAUGAAUUGGCCAAUUUAAGCCAGUCUUUAAUUCAUAGUCUAGCUAAUAUCCAGCUGCCACAUAUGGAACCAAUCAAUGAACAAAAUUUUGAUGCUUACGUGACCACUUUGACGGACAUGUAUACAAAUCAAGAUCGUUAUCAGAGUCCAGAAAAUAAAGCUCUACUGGAAAAUAUAAAGCAGGCUGUGAGAGGAAUUCAGGUCUGAACAGCUGCUAUAGUGGUGAAAAUCUUGCUUAAAAAAAGGAUGCCUCUUGUUUUUUGCUGCUGUAAUUUACCAGAAAGUGUUAUAUAUUUAUUUCUGUUUGAAACAGUGUUAUGCUUACAAGACUUCAUAAUGAUUUUAUGUCUUGCUUUAAAGAUAGUAACUGCAGAAUAGUUUUUUGAAUACAUUCACAUUUUGUACGUUUUCAUAUAAGCUGACAUAGUGUGAUAUGCCAUGUAAUGUUUAUAGCUGCUAAUGUAUGCACAUUUUUGGGGUAUAUAUAUUUCUGAAGAGGUAAGCUGAUCAAAAUAAAUAGAGUGUAAAUUCUUUUUAAUGCUUUAGUGAUUAAAUGUUUUAGUAUUUUGAACUGAAAUGGACAAAAAAAAACAGCUUUGAAUGACAAUGUUGCAGUCUGCAGCCACUUUUUAAACACUAUCAUUUUGCCUCAUGUUGGAGGAUUUUAUGGGAUUUAAGAAAUACAUUUUGUGUGCAUAUUGUUUCAUAGCAAGAAUUGGUUGCAAAAAUGCUUUAUUUUUGAACAAUGCUUGAAAAUAUUAUGUGACUUUUGUUUUUGAAGGAUGGUGUGUGGUGGGGGCAAUAAAAUGAGGUUUUUUGAAUUCCAAGAAAAUGGCAUGGAUUAGAUGUAAGAUACAAAAUGGGUAAUUUAUUGUAAGACAACAUCAAGCCAUGGAAACUUGACAGAAGAUUCAAAGCAGCUUAAACAGCACUUUUUAAUUAACUUCUAAGCAUUACAUGGUAUGAAUAUGGGAACUUCCAUUAUGAAAAGAACUAUAUCAGAGGUGGACAACGUGAAGAUUUCAGCUUUUGUUUUCAAAUAAGCUUUGGAGCCAACAUUCUCUUGUCUCUACUGGACUGCUAGUGCCCCUCUGAACUAUCUGUUAUAGCAAUGUAGUUCAUCUUUCAGAAAUUCUGUUUUCAAUUCAAUAUGGAGGACAAUAUUUCAAAGUUAAUAUUGCCUUUUCACAUCUUUAAUUUUGGAAUAAACACAAACGAUCCGUGUCUAUUAGAGUUACUGAACUGCAUUUGUUGCUGUCUGUGGUAGGAAUGCAGUUCAGUAAAGAUUUUUCCUUUUGCUUUGCCAAGCAUUCAGUCCCAUUUUUAACAUUUUAACAUUUAUGUUUUGCUUUUUGUUGGAGAACAAUCAUUACUGCAGCAUUCACGUAUGCUUUGUAUUCGUUCUACUAUUACCUAUUGCAAAAAUGAAUGCAAUCAAAUUUUUAAUGUAACUAAAUAUACUUCAGCACUUUUUUUGCUUUAAACUGGAUCAUUUUAAGAUAAAACUUAUUUGUACCUUCAAGAUUUGAUUGUUUUCUUCAAAAUGACUGCACUAUAUGUAUGCAUAAGACCACUUUUUAUUACUACAUUUUUCUUUUUUAAGUAGUAAAUUUGGUGAUGUGUUGUGUUUUACAGAUGUUGAAUUUAUUUAAAUUUGAUAGCAUAUCUUUUCCUUCCAUGUCUUGAUGUUAUGCAGAAAGUACAAAAGUACUUUAAAAUUUUGUUAUGAAAAAGAUGGGUUUUGUAAAAAAUAAAAUAUUUUUAGCAGAACAGGACUUACAGGGUCAUUGUCCCCACAAUGUGCCAGUUGACUAUUUGCACUUACCUUGCCCUAUAUAUCCAUACGGAGGUGUGCAAUUUCUUGUGUCAUUAGCCUUGUGACACUAAACCUGAACAAAUUAUAGUGGAAGCCAUUAUGGCCAAUCCAGUAAUAUUGCUAAGGGAGACUACAGGGAUCUCACAACAAAUAUUCUGAUACAAUACUCAACCUCGGUAUAUAUAUAUAUGUAUAAAUAUAUGUAUAUCCCAGCGGCACUUUAUACUAUUCACUGUACAAAAGCUUACAGUUUUCCACGAGGACUUUAAUAACUAGCUGGGAAAAGAUUAUGUAAUUACUUUGGGGCUCUGCAGUAUCUUAUCUGUACAGUGCCCUUUUUCUGUUGUGCUAUUAGUUGUAGCUGCCAUGCUCAGAAUUGCCUUUUUGAGAGCUGAAGCAAGGUGCUUGUUGUUCACCUUCUGCCAUAUAUAUUGUACUUUUGCCCUAGCCUCCUUUUAGGGCUUUCAUUGUUCAUAAUGGCAUAUGCAUUUUUCCACUGCAUUGUGUCUGCAGCUUCUUUGCCAAUAUAGUAAUGCUUUCAGUAGAGUAAUAGAUAGUAUCAGUUUUGGAUUCUUACUGUUAUCACCUAUGUACAAUGGAAAGGGAUUUUAAGCACAAAUCUGCUGCUCAUCUAAUGUUGGUACAUAAUAUCAAAUCAGAAGUUAUCUGUGACUAUUAUAUAGGGAUCACAAAAGUGUCACAUAUUAGAAUGCUGACCUUUCAUAUGAAAUUAUUGUGAGUCAUCAGAGUUUAUUUAUUAUACCUUAUUGUUCAUAUUCAUUUCUAAGUUAAUUUAAGUAAUCAUUUAUUAAGACAGAAUUUUGUAUAAACUAUUUAUUGUGCUCUCUGUGGAACUGAAGUUUGAUUUAUUUUUGUACUACACGGCAUGGAUUUGUUGACAUUUUAAUUUUGCUAUAAAUGUGUGGAAUCACAAGUUGCUGUGAUACUUCAUUUUUAAAUUGUGAACUUUGUACAAAUUUUGUCAUGCUGGAUGUUAACACAUCUUACUCUAAAUAAAUAAAAAAAUGUGUUGCCA